CCCACCCGUUCCCAUUCCGAACACGGAAGUUAAGCCCUCUCGCGCCGAUGGUACUGCCGCAAGGUGGGAGAGUAGGUCGUCGCCAGAC
rfam:Spirochaeta americana strain ASpG1 genome assembly, contig: Ga0071122_125